AUUCAGCUGACGAGUCCCAAACAGAACGAAACGCGCGUCCUGGAU
rnacentral:hammerhead_ribozyme from 1 species